GUAUCAAUGAUGAUCGGGAAGAGUAGGUCAGGAGCCCUUUUACAGAGAGGAGAAUCAGUUGCUGGAAGAUUCUCUAAGGAGACGAUGGACUGAAGGUCGCCCGGGAGUUGUUUUUGGUGAACACGAUGUGUCUAGCCGAAAGCGGUUCGCAGCCGUUAUCUUGUUUGAGGGAACUUGCGAUGGGCAGUAUUGCUUGUCGUCUGUUAACAAAGGUGGUACCGCGAAAUGAAAUCCUUUCGUCCUUUGG
rnacentral:ncRNA from 1 species